CAAGGAAUAUUGUGCAGUGGGCGAAAGCCUGACACAGCGACGCCGCGUGAGGGAUGAAGGCCUUCGGGUUGUAAACCUCUUUUUCUGGGGAUGAAUAAUGACAGUACCCAGGGAAUAAGUCACGGCUAACUACGUGCCAGCAGCCGCGGUAAUACGUAGGUGGCAAGCGUUAUUCGGAUUUACUGGGCGUAAAGAGGGCGCAGGCGGCUUGGCAAGUCGGAUGUAAAAUCUCCUGGCUUAACUGGGAGGGACCAUUCGAUACUGCUGAGCUAGAGGGCAGCAGAGGGAGGUAGAAUUCCCGGUGUAGUGGUGAAAUGCGUAGAUAUCGGGAGGAAUACCAGUGGCGAAAGCGGCCUUCUGGGCUGUUUCUGACGCUGUAGCCCGAAAGCAUGGGGAGCAAACAGGAUUAGAUACCCUGGUAGUCCAUGCCAUAAACUAUGGACACUAGGUAUAGGGAGUAUCGACCCUCUCUGUGCCGAAGCUAACGCGUUAAGUGUCCCGUCUGGGAACUACGGCCGCAAGGUUA
rnacentral:rRNA from 1 species